GAUCAAGCUACAAAGGGCGCAUGGUGGAUGCCUUGGCACCAGGAGCCGAUGAAGGACGUGGUAAGCUGCGAAAAGCUGCGGGUAGCCGCAAACAGGCUGUGAUCCGCAGAUGUCCGAAUGGGGGAACCCGCAUGGCUAACGCCAUGCAUCCUUAGCUGAAUCCAUAGGCUAAGGAGGGCACACCCGGGGAACUGAAACAUCUAAGUACCCGGAGGAAAAGAAAGAAUAAUCGAUUCCCUAAGUAGCGGCGAGCGAAAGGGGAGGAGCCCAAACCAGAGGAAACUCUGGGGUUGCGGACAGGUCAAGAAAGCGAAGGAGUUCUUAGCCGAAUAGGUCUGGAAAGGCCAGCCGCAGAAGGUAAAAGCCCUGUAGGCGAAAAGGACUUUGAGCGAGACCUGAUCCAGAGUACCACGGGACACGAGGAACCCUGUGGGAAGCAGGGAGGACCACCUCCCAAGGCUAAAUACUACCUGGUGACCGAUAGCGCAUAGUACCGUGAGGGAAAGGUGAAAAGAACCCCGGGAGGGGAGUGAAAUAGAACCUGAAACCGUGUGCCUACAAGCAGUCGGAGGGCGUUAAGGCCUGACGGCGUGCUUUUUGUAGAACGAGCCAGCGAGUUACGGUAUGUAGCGAGGUUAAGCACUUAAGGUGCGAAGCCGUAGGGAAACCGAGUCUGAAGAGGGCGUUAAGUUGCAUGCCGUAGACCCGAAACCGGGUGACCUAUCCAUGGACAGGGUGAAGGUGAGGUAAAACUCACUGGAGGCCCGAACCACGUUGGUGUUGAAAAACCAUGGGAUGAGCUGUGGAUAGCGGAGAAAUUCCAAUCGAACUCGGAGAUAGCUGGUUCUCCCCGAAAUAGCUUUAGGGCUAGCCUCGGGUUAGAGACAUGGAGGUAGAGCACUGAAUGGGCUAGGGGCCGUCUAGGUUACCGAACCUUAUCAAACUCCGAAUGCCAUAGUCUUGAUGCCCGGGAGUCAGACUUAGAGUGAUAAGAUCCUAAGUCAAAAGGGAAACAGCCCAGACCAUCAGCUAAGGUCCCAAAGUGCAUGUUAAGUGGUAAAGGAUGUGGGACUUCUAAGACAACCAGGAUGUUGGCUUAGAAGCAGCCAUUCAUUUAAAGAGUGCGUAAUAGCUCACUGGUCGAGAGGUCCUGCGCCGAAGAUGUCCGGGGCUCAAACAUGCCACCGAAGCUAUGGAUUUGGUACCGUUGCUAAUGCUUAUAUGGUAGAGAGGACAGAAAAGAGAGGACAUCUUUAUGCUGCUACGCAGCGAAGCGAAGAAGCAGCAUUAGAUACAACAAGCUAAAACAUGCCAUGUAGGCGAUAGCAACGGUACCAAAUGGUAGGGGAGCUUUCUUAGCGGGUUGAAGUCAGACCGUGAGGACUGGUGGACUGCUAAGAAGUGAGAAUGCUGGCAUAAGUAGCGAGAAAUAGGUGAGAAUCCUAUUCGCCGAAAACCUAAGGUUUCCUCAGGAAGGCUCGUCCGCUGAGGGUUAGUCGGGACCUAAGCCGAGGCCGAAAGGCGUAGGUGAUGGACAAUCGGUUGAUAUUCCGAUACCACCAGCAGCCGUUUGAGAGAUGGGGGGACGCAGGAGGAUAGGCUGAGCACACUGCUGGAUAUGUGUGUCCAAAGCACAAGGUAUGCCUCUUAGGCAAAUCCGGGAGGAUAAGCUGAGUGCUGAUGGGGAGCCGUAAGGCGAAGCAGCCGAUUUCACACUGCCGAGAAAAGCCUCUAUCGAGGAUGCUGGUGCCCGUACCGCAAACCGACACAGGUAGGUGAGGAGAGAAUCCUAAGGCGAGCGGGAGAACCCUUGUUAAGGAACUCGGCAAAUUGACCCCGUAACUUCGGGAGAAGGGGUGCCUACCGAAAGGUAGGUCGCAGAGAAUAGGCCCAGGCGACUGUUUAGCAAAAACACAGGUCUCUGCUAAGUCGAAAGACGAUGUAUAGGGGCUGACGCCUGCCCGGUGCUGGAAGGUUAAGGGGAAAGGUUAGCGCAAGCGAAGCUUUGAACCGAAGCCCCAGUAAACGGCGGCCGUAACUAUAACGGUCCUAAGGUAGCGAAAUUCCUUGUCGGGUAAGUUCCGACCCGCACGAAUGGCGUAACGACCUGGGCGCUGUCUCGACAAGGGACCCGGCGAAAUUGUAGUACAAGUGAAGAUGCUUGUUACCCGCGAUUGGACGGAAAGACCCCGUAGAGCUUUACUGCAGCUUAGCAUUGAGUUUCGGUAUUGUCUGUACAGGAUAGGUGGGAGGCUGAGAAGUAGCGUCGCCAGGCGCUAUGGAGCCGCCGUUGGGAUACCACCCUGAUGAUACUGAAGCUCUAACCGGAGGCCAUGAAGCUGGUCACGGGACAUUGUUAGGCGGGCAGUUUGACUGGGGCGGUCGCCUCCUAAAGAGUAACGGAGGCGCCCAAAGGUUCCCUC
rfam:Thermobrachium celere DSM 8682 genomic scaffold, scaffold7